rnacentral:rRNA from 1 species
GAUGAACGCUGGCGGCGUGCCUAAUACAUGCAAGUCGAGCGAACAGACGAGGAGCUUGCUCCUCUGACGUUAGCGGCGGAUGGGUGAGUAACACGUGGAUAACCUACCUAUAAGACUGGGAUAACUUCGGGAAACCGGAGCUAAUACCGGAUAAUAUAUUGAACCGCAUGGUUCAAUAGUGAAAGACGGUUUUGCUGUCACUUAUAGAUGGAUCCGCGCCGCAUUAGCUAGUUGGUAAGGUAACGGCUUACCAAGGCGACGAUGCGUAGCCGACCUGAGAGGGUGAUCGGCCACACUGGAACUGAGACACGGUCCAGACUCCUACGGGAGGCAGCAGUAGGGAAUCUUCCGCAAUGGGCGAAAGCUUGACGGAGCAACGCCGCGUGAGUGAUGAAGGUCUUCGGAUCGUAAAACUCUGUUAUUAGGGAGGAACAAAUGUGUAAGUAACUAUGCACGUCUUGACGGUACCUAAUCAGAAAGCCACGGCUAACUACGUG